rnacentral:ncRNA from 2 species
GCAACUCUGGAAAGCAGGCGUGUUCGCGGCGCCUCGCCCACGGUGCAAGCCGCCCUCAUCCGGCGGCGAAGCUCUCAGGCUCAUGAACAGAGGGGGAGGC